rnacentral:rRNA from 1 species
UACGUAGGGUGCGAGCGUUGUCCGGAAUUAUUGGGCGUAAAGGGCGCGUAGGCGGCUCGGCACGUCCGUUGUGAAAUCGCCCGGCUCAACUGGGCGGGGUCAGCGGAUACGGCCGAGCUUGAGCAAGCUAGGGGGCAAUGGAAUUCCCGGUGUAGUGGUGGAAUGCGUAGAUAUCGGGAGGAACACCAGUGGCGAAGGCGGUUGCCUGGAGCUUUGCUGACGCUGAUGCGCGAAAGCGUGGGGAGCGAUCCGG